CCUACGGGUGGCAGCAGUGAGGAAUAUUGGUCAAUGGGCGCUAGUCUGAACCAGCCAAGUAGCGUGAAGGAUGACUGCCCUAUGGGUUGUCAACUUCUUUUAUAUGGGAAUAAAAUGCAGUAUUUAUACUGCUUUUCAUGUACCUUAUUAAUAAGGAUCGGCUAACUCUGUGCCAGCAGCCGCGUUAAUACGGAGGGUCCGAGCGUUAUCCGGAUUUAUUGGGUUUAAAGGGAGCGUAGUCGGGUUGUUAAGUCAGUUGUGAAAGUUUGCGGUUAAACCGUAAAAUUGCAGUUGAUACUGGCAUCCUUGAGUACAGUAGAGGUAGGCGGAAUUCAUGGUGUAGCGGUGAAAUGCUUAGAUAUCACGAAGAACUCCGAUUGCGAAGGCAGCCUGCUGGACUGUAACUGACGCUGAUGCUCGAAAGUGUGGGUAUCAAACAGGAGUAGAUACCCUGGUAGUC
rnacentral:rRNA from 1 species